rnacentral:rRNA from 1 species
GACGAACGCUGGCGGCGUGCUUAACACAUGCAAGUCGAACGCUGAAGCUCAGCUUUUGUUGGGUGGAUGAGUGGCGAACGGGUGAGUAACACGUGAGUAACCUGCCUCCUUCUUUGGGAUAACGCCCGGAAACGGGUGCUAAUACUGGAUAUUCACUGGUCUUCGCAUGGGGGUUGGUGGAAAGGGUUUUUCUGGUGGGGGAUGGGCUCGCGGCCUAUCAGCUUGUUGGUGGGGUGAUGGCCUACCAAGGCUUUGACGGGUAGCCGGCCUGAGAGGGUGACCGGGCACAUUGGGACUGAGAUACGGCCCAGACUCCUACGGGAGGGAGCAGUGGGGAAUAUUGCACAAUGGGCGCAAGACUGAUGCAGCGACGCCGCGUGAGGGAUGGAGGGCUUCGGGUUGUGAACCUCUUUCGCUCAUGGUCAAGCCGCAACAAUGGUUGUGGUGAGGGUAGUGGGUAAAGAAGCGCCGGCUAACUACGUG